rnacentral:misc_RNA from 1 species
GUGGAAAUGGCAUUCCCCAACCUAGCUUUGGAGGAUCAACUCCUUCCUUCAAUGUUGGAACGGGAAAUAACCAAAAGGCCCGCCCUGUCAGAAAACCAGUGCGAAGAACAAAGAGAACUUAAUUCAUUGCAUGUCUUUCAUAAGGAUCUAUGUAAAUUAUCAAGUGGCUAUCAUUUUAAAAAAUCUCAUAUCAUCCAUCUUGUGCAUAUCUUAAGCCAGUCUGUUGUUUUUUCGGGUUGACAACUCAUAGAAGUUCAAAUAAACUAAUUUUGAUAAGGAAAACACAGCUGAGGUAUAUUACAGUUCAAUAAGAUUUUGAUUUAAAAAAAAAAUUGCAUGUACUUUUUUCAAUUUGUAAAUCUGUAUAAAUUUGUAAAAAGAAGGUGAAUUUUUUUUUAAAGAAUUUUUUGUACAAAACAGGAGUGUUUUUUGAAAGAUGUUAUGUGUUAUCAAAAAAAAAUUAUCUAGAAGACUUUGUUUUGCACAGUUAUAUGUGUCAUAAUACACUAAAAAGAUAUUUUAAAUGUAGUUUUUCAUGUUAUGUACAUGUAUAUUAAAAGAAAGAGUUUCAAAUAAGAAUUAUAUAUAUCUGGAGCUAAUUUAUAUAAAUUAUAUUUGUAAGAUGUAAACCUUUAAGUUGGAAAUUUUUGAUUAUGUUAAAACUUAUUUGAAGCUCUAUAAACAAUUCCUUAAUGAUGUGUUGGGGAUUACAAAAACUUGCUAAUUUUGAAGUCCCUGACAAUUAUUGGUCAAUUUCAAAAUGAGUUACAACAUUUUUUUUUUUACAUGUAUUUGCAUUCAAAUGUUCAGAAUGUCUUUCCAUCCAAUUUUCAUAAAUUAUUAUUCAACAAAAGGUGCUUGAUUUGCCCUGGUAUAACUUAUUUUGAUUUUGUACCAAUUUGUGUAUUUUGUUUUCUGUUAAAUUACAUCAGUCUGUCUGACACAUUAAUUUUUGUGAUAGUGCCAAAUUUAUACAAAACUCGGUGUUACACAUAUGUUUUACGUAACACGAGUAAAUUUUUCCUCACUGUGUAACAGUGAUUGUAAUGUAACUAUAUGCAAUAUUUGUAUUGACCUCACAGUUUCACAAAAGUUAGUGUUCAGUUCCCAAGCUUGUAUAUAUUCUCUGUAUCACUUUCUAUUUGCAGGCUGGUGCACAGCAUAUUGCUGUUUUUUUAUUGUGAAUGUCGAAUGUCAAGUUUUUGUUAAUGGUUGAAAAAUACAGCAACUCAAAUGCAUGAUGAGUUUAAAGCAGCAUCUGGUUAACGGUUACUGAAAGCUGAAAAAGUUAAUGGGUAUGUUCUUUGUCCGAGUGAUAUUGCAGUCAUUGGGUGUGCUCUUUCCUGUGGAGUUUCUGAUGAACCUCAAUGUAUUACACAAAAUAAUGAUAUUCCUGUGAAGAUUGGGUAGACCGUACGAAUCUGUAUUGGAUAGGGAGAAAACAAGUGUGGUGUAUUAUGUAUGAAAUUGAAUUGUGACCUAGAGAAAGGUGGAUGUAUGUUUCUGGAAUGGAGAUCAAUAAAAUUGUACUACUG